GACGGAGGGGGCUAGCGUUGUUCGGAAUGACUGGGCGUAAAGGGCGCGUAGGCGGUUUUUUAAGUUGGGCGUGAAAGCCCCAGGCUUAACCUGGGAACUGCGCUUGAUACUGAAAGACUAGAGGACGAGAGAGGAAAGUGGAAUUCCGAGUGUAGAGGUGAAAUUCGUAGAUAUUCGGAGGAACAUCAGAGGCGAAGGCGGCUUUCUGGCUCGUAUCUGACGCUGAGGCGCGAAAGCGUGGGGAGCAAACAGG
rnacentral:rRNA from 1 species